rnacentral:rRNA from 1 species
AGUGAACGCUGGCGGUAGGCCUAACACAUGCAAGUCGAGCGGCAGCACAGUAAGAGCUUGCUCUUACGGGUGGCGAGUGGCGGACGGGUGAGGAAUACAUCGGAAUCUACUUUUUCGUGGGGGAUAACGUAGGGAAACUUACGCUAAUACCGCAUACGACCUACGGGUGAAAGCAGGGGAUCUUCGGACCUUGCGCGAUUGAAUGAGCCGAUGUCGGAUUAGCUAGUUGGCGGGGUAAAGGCCCACCAAGGCGACGAUCCGUAGCUGGUCUGAGAGGAUGAUCAGCCACACUGGAACUGAGACACGGUCCAGACUCCUACGGGAGGCAGCAGUGGGGAAUAUUGGACAAUGGGCGCAAGCCUGAUCCAGCCAUACCGCGUGGGUGAAGAAGGCCUUCGGGUUGUAAAGCCCUUUUGUUGGGAAAGAAAAGCAGCAGGUUAAUACCUCGCUGUUCUGACGGUACCCAAAGAAUAAGCACCGGCUAACUUCGUG